AGAGUUGAUCAUGGCUCAGAACGAACGCUGGCGGCGCGUCUAAGCAUGCAAGUCGAACGGCAAGAGGUAGCAAUACCUCCUAGAGUGGCGGACUGGUGAGUAACACGUGGGUGACAUACCCUUCAGAUGGGGAUAGCUAUUAGAAAUAGUAGAUAAUACCGAAUACGAGCACAGGGGUUAGAGAUCUGUGAGGAAAGGAGCUAAGGCUCCGCUGAAGGAAUGGCCUGCGGCCCAUUAGCUAGUUGGUGAGGUAAGAGCCCACCAAGGCGAUGAUGGGUAUCCGGCCUUAGAGGGUGAACGGACACAUUGGGACUGAGAUACGGCCCAGACUCCUACGGGAGGCAGCAGCUAAGAAUAUUCCGCAAUGGACGAAAGUCUGACGGAGCGACGCCGCGUGGAUGAAGAAGGCCGGAAGGUUGUAAAAUCCUUUUGAAACUGAAGAAUAAGCGUUGUAGGGAAUGACAGCGUGGUGACAGUAGGUUUUGAAUAAGCAACGGCUAAUUACGUGCCAGCCGCCGC
rnacentral:rRNA from 1 species